rnacentral:sRNA from 1 species
AUACCACUCGUAGACGCUGGUUCCUCCGCGCCAUCCACACCCACCUGACGACCGCUCCAGGCGCUCUGUGCGCC